rnacentral:rRNA from 1 species
AUUGAACGCUGGCGGCAGGCCUAACACAUGCAAGUCGAGAGAGCGGCGGACGGGUGAGUACUGUCUGGGAAACUGCCUGAUGGAGGGGGAUAACAACUGGAAACGGUAGCUAAUACCGCAUACCAUCAGAUGUGCCCAUAUGGGAUUAGCUAGUAGGUUGGGUAAUGGCUCACCUAGUCGACGAUCCCUAGCUGGUCUGAGAGGAGGACCAGGCACACUGGAACUGAGACACGGUCCAGACUCCUACGGCAGGCAGCAGUGGGGAAUAUUGCACAAUGGGCGCAAGCCUGAUGCAGCCCUGCCGCGUGGGUGAAGAAGGCCUUCGGGUUGUAAAGCACUUUCAGCGGGGAGUCGUUACCCGCAGAAGAAGCACCGGCUAACUCCGUGCCAGCAGCAGCGGUAAUAC